UUUCCGUAGGUGAACCUGCGGAAGGAUCAUUAAAAAAUUGGACUCCAUUGGUGAGUUCAUUAAUAAUCCCUACCCUUUGUGAAUUUGUUUGUUUGAAUAAUUUUUUUUCCAAAAAAAAUUAUUGAAUGUCUUUCCUUGUUUUGGUGGAGCUUGUAAAGUGAAACCAGGCAGGGGAAUGGCAAACAAUAAUUAUUUUUGAAAAAGACCUUUUUUUAAAAUUAAACUUUUUGUAUUCAUUUGUCUAAAAUUAAUUUUUAUAAUAUAAAAACAACUUUUGACAAUGGAUCUCUUGGUUCUCGCAACGAUGAAGAACGCAGCAAAAUGCGAUAAGUAGUGUGAAUUGCAGAAUACGUGAAUCAUCGAAUCUUCGAACGCAUAUUGCACUUUUUUAGUUUACUAAAAAAGUAUGUCUGUUUGAGUAUCAGUAAAAUAUUCUCAUAAAAAACAUUGUUUUUUUUAUGGUUAUGAGUGUUUUACAACGAUAACAAGUUGUUUCACUUUAAAUUCUUUGUUAUCAAAAAAUCAUUAAAAGCUAAUUUUAAAGAUUUUUUAAAAUUGGAUAAAAUUUUCCCGUAAAAAGGAAUAACCUAAACAAUUUUAAAAAAUUAAAAUUGGUUUGAUUUUUUUUGAAACCCAAAGGAAAAAAAACGAAAUUAACUUGAUCUCAAAUCAGAUAAGAGUACCCGCUGAACUUAAGCAUAUCAAUAAGCGGAGGAAAAGAAACUAACUAGGAUUCCCUCAGUAACGGCGAGUGAAGCGGGAAGAGCUCAAAUUUGAAAUCUUCAAGGUUUUACCUUGACGAAUUGUAGUUUAAAGAAGUGUUUUCUGUUGGAGUUUUGGUAAAAGUUCUUUGGAAAAGGACAUCAUAGAGGGUGAGAAUCCCGUAUUUGACCAUUAUCUCCAGCUUUGUGAUACACUUUCAAAGAGUCGGAUUGUUUGGGAAUGCAGUCCAAAAUGGGUGGUAAAUUUCAUCUAAAGCUAAAUACUGGCGAGAGACCGAUAGCGAACAAGUACCGUGAGGGAAAGAUGAAAAGAACUUUGAAAAGAGAGUUAAACAGUACGUGAAAUUGUCAAAAGGGAAGCGUUUGACACCAGUGUUGUUUUCUCGAAAAUCAAUUAAAAAAGGCCGGAUUUUGUGUUGUAUUGACUUUAUCAGCUUUCUGCACUCUUUUCUUGUCUUUUUUAAUGCACUUUUCGUUUAACAAGUCAACAUCAAUUUCUUUUGUUGUAAAAGGGUCAUUGGAAGGUGGCUUUCUUUUCGGAGAAAGUGUUUAUAGCCUUUGGCCUCUGCAAUCGGAGAGAUUGAGGUCUGCAGCGUAGAUCCUUCGGGGUUAGAUACAUUUGUGCUAAGUUAUAGCCUUUCAUAGACAACUUGUUGACUAUGAUCAGUCAUGUAGCUUACUCGCUUAUGCUAUUUUACCUACGCUUAGGAUGUUG
rnacentral:misc_RNA from 1 species